GUUACUAUUUCUGUAAAGUUUCAUCCAGUUUGCAGCAUUUUGAUUUUUUUGAAAUUUUGGACAUUUUUGCUGCAUCCAUGGUUACAGUGGAUAAUUCCAAAAUUCUAAAAGCAGACAUCUCAUUGCCACAUGUCAUGUUAUAUAUCAGUACAGUUUCAUUGACAUUGGUGAAAUACUCUUUAAGAAAAUGCUGAUUUUAUGCAUUUUCCCAUAGGGUCAAUGUAAAACUUGCCCCCAGUUUCCAUGACAACGGCGGCCAUUUUGGACUAUCCAAAUAUUGUCUUGACAUCUUGGAAUACUGGGUAACAUUUUCAUUAAGUUUCAUCCAGUUGGGUCUUUUAACGAAAGAGUUAGAAUUUUUGAUAUUUUAGCUGUUUCCAUGGUUACGGCAACCAUUUUGAAAAUUCCAAAGUCAAACUGCAAAUCAGCACAUGCCAGUUAACAUUCCUGUGGAGUUUCUUCCAAUUUGGAACACUUUGAUUUUUUUCGCAUUUUUGCUGUUUCCAUGGAAACGGCGGCCAUUUUUUACCAUUCCAUAGCAAGGUGCACAACUUUACAUGGGGGUCCUCAUUAUAGUAGAGUUCCAUCAACAUUGGUCCAUUGGAUUCCAAGAACUCGCGCGGACAAAAUGUAUGGAAGAAAAAUAAGAAAAAAAAAGAAACGUAGAAUAACAGUAUGUCACCCCAACUCCGUUGAGGGUGCCAUAAAAAGAAACGUAGAAUAACAGUAUGUCACCCCAACUCCGUUGAGGGUGCCAUAAUAAUAAGAAAAAAAGAAACGAACAAUAACAAUAUGUCACCCCAACUCCGUUGAGGGUGCCAUAAUAAGAAAAAAAAGAAACGUAGAAUAACAAUAUGUCACCCCAACUCCGUUGAGGGUGCCAUAAUAAAAA